rnacentral:miRNA from 1 species
UUUGGCCGAAUUUCUGGAAGUCA